rnacentral:lncRNA from 1 species
UGGAUUAUUCUGUAAAAAACAAAGACACAUUAUUUUGGGACAGAUGAGUAUCAAAAAGGAAAUAAACAGAGGCAAGCCAUAAUAGAAAACUGAUACAGACAGCAUUUGAUGACAUAGUGACAGCACACGACAGCACAAUUAAGAACUGAUGACAUAGUUCGGGGGAAAUUAUAAACAUAGUGACAACACAAUUAAGAACUGAUGACAUAGUGACAGCAUUUAAAUUGGAGUGAAUACUAGAGUACACAGAAAAACUAUAUUUUGCUGGACCAAGUCCCAUUUUCAUUCCCU